CCAACCACAUGCUAUAAUCUCUGAACUGCAUUUAGAUCAGCCUGGAUUAUUUUAUUAUCAUCAAAUCCAAAUUGUAUGGAAUAAUGGCCUUCUUUUCCCUUGGUCUAAACAGGAGACUGAAAGAGAAAAACCUGAGAUUGAAAAAGUGAAAAUCACCUCAAGCUGACAAAGGAAAAAGCAGCUCUACUUUUCAUCAGGCUGGGAGGACAAGGCAGUUCAUGCUUGAAGACGACAAAUUCUACCAGUGAAGAAUGCAGGAACAGCAUACAUAAAGAGCACCUGGGAUUGAGACAGAGCACCUGAGAAGAACCUGCCAUUUCUGGACCCUCAACCUGGGCCAAAUCUAGAUUGUGUUGGAGAGGGCACAGCUGUGCCUCAUGAUUACAAAGAAAUUGCUGUCAUGCAGUGUCUGUGGAACUUGCCUAAAAUCUACCCUCUGGAACUUGCUGGAAAUUCAUUCUCUAAGAUGCUUGGGCAAUCUGUUCAUGGGGAGGCAUUUCAACUGAUGUCACUGGGGGGAGGGGCUGGUAAUUGGGAAAUCUGCUGGUAAUGCAGGAGCCAGGAGCUAAAGAAGACCUUGGUGUUCCAAGAGCUGUACACAGGCUAAGCAGCAGGAAGCAGGAAGCAAAAUCCUUAGUUUAACCUGUAACAUCCAAUACAGGAGAAACAUUUAAAGACUGGCUACAUUUUUGCUGAGCAGGCAAUAAAGGUUGAAUUUGGAGUUGAAAGUU